GUAUUCUCUGACUUCUCUGACUAUACAGUAACAGUCUACCAUAUUUAAAGUUGGUGUGUGGGGGAUGUGGCCUUUUGGGUGACGUCAAGCCUGGCCAGCUUCUAUUGUCUUUUAAUUAAAAACUACCCCCUUUCCUGGGAAGUCCUUCAGAGGCCUGGACACAUGCUGUGCUACAAACACUAACAUUUCACACCUGUCUAAAGAACAAAAG